ACGACCUGUUCAGUCAAAAAUCUUUGUGCAAUUUUGACUCCCCCAAAACUUAGUUACUAAUGGCCUACCAUUGACAGGAAGCCUUAUUUAUAACAUAAAUAGUUGAAUAACACAUAUUUUGUAUGCCAUAUGUAUUAUAUACUCUAUUCUUAAAAUAAAGCA